AGCAGCCGCGGUAAUUCCAGCUCCAAUAGCGUAUAUUAAAGUUGUUGCAGUUAAAAAGCUCGUAGUUGAAUUUCGGGGUUAGUAGGUUGGUCAUGCCUCUGGUAUGUACUGGUCUCACUGAUUCCUCCUUCCUGAUGAACCUUAAUGCCAUUAAUUUGGUGUUUUGGGGAAUUUGGACUGUUACUUUGAAAAAAUUAGAGUGUUUAAAGCAAGCUAACGCUUGAAUACAUUAGCAUGGAAUAAUGAAAUAGGACGUUCGAUCCUAUUUUGUUGGUUUCUAGGAUUUGACGUAAUGAUUAAUAGGGAUAGUUGGGGGCAUUAGUAUUCAAUUGUCAGAGGUGAAAUUCUUGGAUUUAUUGAAGACUAACUACUGCGAAAGCAUUUGCCAAGGAUGUUUUCAUUAAUCAAGAACGAAAGUUAGGGGAUCGAAGACGAUCAGAUACCGUCGUA
rnacentral:rRNA from 1 species